UGUGUAGGCGGUUCUUUAAGUUUGGUGUGAAAUCUCCCGGCUCAACUGGGAGGGUGCGCCGAAUACUGAGGGGCUAGAGUACGGGAGAGGAAAGUGGAAUUCCUGGUGUAGCGGUGAAAUGCGUAGAUAUCAGGAGGAACACCGGUGGUGUAGACGGCUUUCUGGACCGACACUGACGCUGAAACACGAAAGCGUGGGUAGCAAACAGGAUUAGAUACCCUGGUAGUCCACGCCCUAAACGAUGCAUAUUUGGUGUGGGCAGUUCAUUCUGUCCGUGCCGGAGCUAACGCGUUAAAUAUGCCGCCUGGGGAGUACAGCCGCAAGGCUGAA
rnacentral:rRNA from 1 species